rnacentral:rRNA from 1 species
UUUAGCCAUGCAUGUGUAAGCGAAGCAAUUAGUGAAGCGGCGGAAGGCUCAGUAACGGGCGAGUAUUUAAUCUCCAUGACCGGACAACCUCAGGAAACAGAGGGGAAAACGGAGUAAGAGCAUGUUCCAGCAUGUGAUGAGAACGUAUGUGUAGGAGAGUAAGAAGCCAUCCCAUCAGUUAGUAAGUAGGAUAAGGGCCUAUUUAGACGAAGACGGGUACGGGGGAUUAGGGUUUGAUUCCGGAGAGGGAGCCUGAGAGACGGCUACCAGGUCCAAGGACAGCAGCAGGCGCGAAAAUUACCGAUGCCUCCAUGAGGGCGGUAGUGAAGAGACGUGAAGUAAUGUGUGUGUAAAAACCACAUGAGUAACUGGAGGUCAAGGCUGGUGCCAGCAUCCGCGGUAAUACCAGCUCCAGGAGUGUCUAUGAUGAUUGCUGCGAUUAAAAGGUCCGUAGUCGAAGAACAGUACUUGUUUGUAAUGUGGUUUAUCAACGACCAAAUAGAACGAGAAGAGUUCAGAAUGAGGAGCGAAGGAGGGCUAGAUUAUUGAGCAGCGAGAGGUGAAAUUUGAUGACCUGCUUAGGAGUAACAGAGGCGAAAGCGCUAGUCAAGAGCGAAUCCGAUGAUCAAGGACGUAGGCUGGAGGAUCGAAGACGAUUAGAGACCGUAGUAGUUCCAGCAGUAAACGAUGCCAACACUGUUGUGGAAAGUGCACGACAGAAGAGAAAUCUAGUAGGGCUUUGGGGAGAGUACGCGCGCAAGCGAUAAAUUUAAAGGAAAUUGACGGAAGAACACCACAAGGAGUGGAGUGUGCGGCUUAAUUUGACUCAACGCGGGACAGCUUACCAUACCCGAUGACUGUGUGAGCGUGGUACGCGAUAGGUCAGAGAGUGGUGCAUGGCCGUUAACGACGAGUGGGGUGACCUUUGGGUUAAGUCCGCGAAGUAGUGAGAUCCCUAGGAUACAGAUGUUAUCGACAGGUGUUAAAGACACAGGAAGGAAGGGGCAAGAACAGGUCAGUGAUGCCCUUAGAUGGUAUGGGCUGCACGCGCACUACAGUGGUCACAGCAGAAAUGCACAGAAGUAAAUGUGAUCGAGAGGGAAUGAGCACUGAAAUGUGCACAGGAACGAGGAAUUGCUAGUAAUCGUUAUCUCAUUAAGAAGCGAUGAAUGUGUCCCUGUUCUUUGUACACACCGCCCGUCGUUAUCGAAGAUGGAACCAGGUGCGAACAAGUGCAAGCGAGUGAGUGCAGGGUUCUAGAUCUGAUACAAGUCG